UACGAAGGGGGCUAGCGUUGCUCGGAAUCACUGGGCGUAAAGCGCACGUAGGCGGACUCUUAAGUCAGGGGUGAAAUCCUGGAGCUCAACUCCAGAACUGCCUUUGAUACUGGGAGUCUUGAGUUCGGGAGAGGUGAGUGGAACUGCGAGUGUAGAGGUGAAAUUCGUAGAUAUUCGCAAGAACACCAGUGGCGAAGGCGGCUCACUGGCCCGAUACUGACACUGAGGUGCGAAAGCGUGGGGAGCAAACAGG
rnacentral:rRNA from 1 species